rnacentral:rRNA from 1 species
CGAAAUAUUAGGUCUGGCCUGCUCACUGACUUGUUUUGAAGAGCCGCGGUAUUUUGACCGUGCAAAGGUAGCAUAAUCAUUAGUCUCUUAAUUGGAGGCUGGAAUGAAUGGUUUGACGAGGAGUUGACUGUCUCUAUAUAAUAUCUAGAAUUUAACUUUUAAGUUAAAAGGCUUAAAUUUUUCUUUAGGACGAGAAGACCCUAUAGAGCUUGAUAUAUUGUUUUUAUAUGGUUUUUAGUUUGUUUUCCUAUAUUUAAAUUAAUAUAUUUUGUUGGGGUGACAUGAAGGAUAAAUAAACCCUUCAUUAUUAAAUCAUUGAUUUAUGUUAUUUUGAUCCAUAAUUUAUGAUCAUAAGAUUAAGUUACCUUAGGGAUAACAGCGUAAUUGUUUUAGAGAGCUCAAAUCGACAAAGCAGAUUGCGACCUCGAUGUUGGAUUAAGAAAAAUGCUAGGUGCAGUAGCUUAGUAAUUAGGUCUGUUCGACCUUUAAAUUCUUACGUGAUCUG